ACAGAAUCUCUCUGUAAAAGAGUAAGCUGAGCAGACAGUGUGGUAGCUUCUGUCUGGAGAGUCUGAACCUUGUGCUCCAAUUCUGAAAUAUAUCUCAUCUUCCUUUCUUUGGAACGGGCAGCUGAUUGACGAUUUGCCAAAAUCCUUUUUGCACGCUUUGGAUCCGUUACUGCAAUCUCAGCAAGUUUCUCAUUUGCCAUAAUUUUCUUAAUCUCAGCACCACUAAACUCGCCAUUUCCAAAUUCCAAACUAAAGGCAUUCCCAUCCAAUGAAUUACUAGGUGAUAGUUGUCCUGGUCGAGUUCCUGGUGAUGGUGGCAGCUUUGGAGACUCAUCUCCAAAGUUCAACUUGCCCAUGAAACUAUCCAUUGAAACACUUCUGUAGUGUCUGGUGGUUGAAGCGAUAUCCCCUCCAGCAGUCCUUUUGAUCCCCUCCCUCUUCUCGGUUGAAGAACUCAAUCCUCUUGGCAAACUACUCCCACUUUCAUUCACACUGCUUUCUGCCUCAUUUUCACUGCUUUCCCCUCCAUUAGUCUUCGUUCCACUAGCUCUACUAUCCAAAUCCUCACGAUUCUCAUUACCAUUCUUAUCAUCAGUUCCGGACGAGUUCAGUGCAUCAAUGUUGUCCAAAUUCAUAUAAGCAGAAAACAAAUCAUCCACAACUUCACCUUCAGAUUUCCUCUCGCCCAUCCCCUCAGCAUUACUAUCACCACCUCUCUCCCAUUCCCUUUUCACCAACUGGACUGGCUUAGCCACCCAUGGAUUCUCUUUCCCAGACACUGACCGCUCUAGAACACCUGAACCCCUCAACUGAACAAGAGGUGGCGAAGAUUGCAUAACAUUCGUAAACCCAAAUGGAAUAUCACUGUUAGACCUCCUAUGUGUCUUGCGUGGGGGCAAGCUCUCACCAACUCGUGAAGUAUUACCCUUAUUAAAGGGCGAGGGUGGUAAUAGGGAAUGAGCACUUGCAUCCCUGUCUUCCAUGGACACAUCAGCUGGUAUUGGGUCAGACGCAGACGCUGAAGAGGAAUCACGGAAAGGGGCCGGACUUAACGGUGGCAGUGAAUCAAGCGAGAAAAAUGAUGAAGGCUGAGAUAAAGAUCUUGAAUGGGUAGGCCCUGGACUAAAGUUCGGGGAACCCAUCUGCUGGCUAGUUGGCCUAGACACCGGGAUCUGGGAAUACGGCGAAAUGGGUGGGAUCUGAUUGGGGUGGGAGGGUGGUAUCCCUACUCUUUUGCUAUUAUCAGUGCUAAAAUUCUGUGCAAAGUGUGCAAAAUGCCUGGCACGCGUAUGGGUCUGGUUCAAUUGGGGUAUAUCGAGCUGGUUAAUUGAUAAAAAUGGUUGUUUAGGCAUUGAUGAAGACGAUUGCGUAGUCCCAAACGAAGAUUGAAGCCUUUGCAUCAUUUCACUAUUAGCCUCUUCAGUAUCACCCAUUCUCUUGAACUUGAAAAACUACUCCUAAUCUAUAUUUCUAUAAUGCCCCAAACUAAAACCUUUAACUAUCACCCAAAAACCCCCAAUUUAUGAUUAACCCAGUUCACUUUUACCAAGGCCCCAAUCGAUAAAUCAAUAAACCAAAUCAAAUUCCUAGAAUCUGCAAGAAAAUACAGAAUUUUCACUUGAGUAGUAUUAUUGAAGAGCAGCAAUACCUUGUUAACAAUAGAAGGGUCAUUUCAAGCACAAUGAAGGAACCGGCGAGCAGAAAACUUCUCUUGAUUAUAGCAUUUCCGGGUUCUACUGGCGGAAAUGGCGAAGAAAAAAGAAACAAGAAUCAAGAAGCUAAAAGCUAAAGCUAAGCAGGCGGUUUCUCUCUCUAGUUUUUCUUAGGUUUUCCCUAUCUAGAAUUU
rnacentral:misc_RNA from 1 species